UGAGCAACCUGUCCUCAGCUUUGGGAUAACCCUCGGAAACGGGGGCUAAUACCGGAUAUUCACUGCUUCGCGCAUGUGGGGUGGUGGAAAGUUUUUCGGCUGGGGAUGGGCUCGCGGCCUAUCAGCUUGUUGGUGGGGUGAUGGCCUACCAAGGCGACGACGGGUAGCCGGCCUGAGAGGGCGACCGGCCACACUGGGACUGAGACACGGCCCAGACCUCCGUACGGGAGCA
rnacentral:rRNA from 1 species